CAAGUUCAUUAUGAUAAAUUUUAACAAGAAUUUGUUACGCCAACGACAUCAUUGUCUUUAAAAUCUCCAAUAACGACCUAGCAAAGUUUUUGGUGGCUAAGUUAUCAAACUACUUGAUUUUACUAUAGCUUACGGUCUUUAGAGAUAGAGAGCAAAGUAAGGGAACGCAGUUCAACGAGAUGGUUGAGCAAAUUUUGAUCUUGCCUGAACAUCAAGCUUCACAAUGUCCUCCAUAAAGCCAAGGAUCACAGCAGAUUGAAGGUCAAUUGUGAAUGAGACAAUGAUGCAGGGAAGGAAUUACAGUCCACAAUAAUGAGGAAACUGAAGCAUGGAAGGAAGAGGUCUUUAACAACAUAUAAAAUAAGAAAUGUUAGAUUCCAUAGUGGAAUGACAAAAAAUUUUUGUAGUUUAUUUCACUUCCAAUCUGUCUGUAUGUCAGUCAUUUGAUUAGUGAUGGUACUGGAUAAUUUAUUACAUAAAUAGAUUAUAAAUAUGAACCAUUAUAGCGAUGUAUAGAAAUAAUGGUAAAAAAAUGGACUGGCAUUUAGGGCAUGUAAUUGAGGGAUGAUCAAAGAAUUUGACUGCACAUGAAUGUUUCUCUAUCUCAACACUACAGAAUUGGAUUUUUGUAGUUUUGCAUAAUAAAUGUUGUCUAAAUAUAUCUAAAUGAGUCCCCCUCUCAAAGGCUGUAAUGAAAAAUUUAUUUCACUUACGUAAGGCCUGACCACAUCACUAUGUUACGGUACUUUCUACACCACGUUAAGUGUUUUUUUUGUAGACAACUAGCUUUUGCCCGUGACUCCGUCCGUGUGGAAUAGUUACUUUGGCAUUACCCUAAAUUUUACCCCCAAUGAAAAUAUUUUGAAACAUUCUUUAUUGGUGCUUCACUUGUAUUGGUCUUACCGUGAUGUUAUGUAGCCUAUAGCCUUCCUCAAUGUUAUUUAACACUGAAAGAUUUUUUUAAAUCAGACAAGCAGUUCCUGAGAUUAGCGCGUUCAAACAAACAAACUCUUCAGCUUUAUAAUAUUAGUAUAGAUAUGAAGUUUGUUCAUAAAACUCAAAACCUGCCUAUUUCAUAUAAUUUAUAUACAUUUUCUUAAAAAUAUGUUUAUGUCUAUUACUUUUGAAAGCCUGACAAGAUCAAUGUGCACUUUUGAGAGUUUGAAAGUAAAUAAUGUAAUUUAAAAUUUAAUCUGAGAAUACACCCAAUCCAAAUAAAUAAUAUACCACCUGUU